CCUACGGGGUGCAGCAGUGGGGAAUAUUGGGCAAUGGGCGCAAGCCUGACCCAGCAACGCCGCGUGAGGGAAGAAGGCUUUCGGGUUGUAAACUUCUUUUGACAGGGAAGAGUAGAAGACGGUACCUGUCGAAUAAGCCACGUCUAACUACGGGCCAGCAGCCGCGGUAAUACGUAGGUGGCAAGCGUUGUCCGGAUUUACUGGGUGUAAAGGGCGUGUAGGCGGGUUGACAAGUCAGAUGUGAAAUCCUGGGGCUUAACCGCAGAACUGCAUUUGAAACUGUUGAUCUGGAGUACUGGAGAGGCAGGCGGAAUGCCUAGUGUAGCGGUGAAAUGCGUAGAUAUUAGGAGGAACACCAGUGGCGAAGGCGGUCUGCUGGCCAGCAACUGACGGUGAGGCACGAAAGCGUGGGGAGCAAACAGGAUUAGAUACCCGGGUAGUC
rnacentral:rRNA from 1 species